rnacentral:rRNA from 1 species
GCUGUGGAUUGUCCUUUGGACAAUGGUAGGAGAGCGUUCUAAGGGCGUUGAAGCAUGAUCGUAAGGACAUGUGGAGCGCUUAGAAGUGAGAAUGCCGGUGUGAGUAGCGAAAGACGGGUGAGAAUCCCGUCCACCGAUUGACUAAGGUUUCCAGAGGAAGGCUCGUCCGCUCUGGGUUAGUCGGGUCCUAAGCUGAGGCCGACAGGCGUAGGCGAUGGAUAACAGGUUGAUAUUCCUGUACCACCUAUAAUCGUUUUAAUCGAUGGGGGGACGCAGUAGGAUAGGCGAAGCGUGCGAUUGGAUUGCACGUCUAAGCAGUAAGGCUGAGUAUUAGGCAAAUCCGGUACUCGUUAAGGCUGAGCUGUGAUGGGGAGAAGACAUUGUGUCUUCGAGUCGUUGAUUUCACACUGCCGAGAAAAGCCUCUAGAUAGAAAAUAGGUGCCCGUACCGCAAACCGACACAGGUAGUCAAGAUGAGAAUUCUAAGGUGAGCGAGCGAACUCUCGUUAAGGAACUCGGCAAAAUGACCCCGUAACUUCGGGAGAAGGGGUGCUCUUUAGGGUUAACGCCCAGAAGAGCCGCAGUGAAUAGGCCCAAGCGACUGUUUAUCAAAAACACAGGUCUCUGCUAAACCGUAAGGUGAUGUAUAGGGGCUGACGCCUGCCCGGUGCUGGAAGGUUAAGAGGAGUGGUUAGCUUCUGCGAAGCUACGAAUCGAAGCCCCAGUAAACGGCGGCCGUAACUAUAACGGUCCUAAGGUAGCGAAAUUCCUUGUCGGGUAAGUUCCGACCCGCACGAAAGGCGUAACGAUUUGGGCACUGUCUCAACGAGAGACUCGGUGAAAUCAUAGUACCUGUGAAGAUGCAGGUUACCCGCGACAGGACGGAAAGACCCCGUGGAGCUUUACUGUAGCCUGAUAUUGAAAUUCGGCACAGCUUGUACAGGAUAGGUAGGAGCCUUUGAAACGUGAGCGCUAGCUUACGUGGAGGCGCUGGUGGGAUACUACCCUAGCUGUGUUGGCUUUCUAACCCGCACCACUUAUCGUGGUGGGAGACAGUGUCAGGCGGGCAGUUUGACUGGGGCGGUCGCCUCCUAAAAGGUAACGGAGGCGCUCAAAGGUUCCCUCAGAAUGGUUGGAAAUCAUUCAUAGAGUGUAAAGGCAUAAGGGAGCUUGACUGCGAGACCUACAAGUCGAGCAGGGUCGAAAGACGGACUUAGUGAUCCGGUGGUUCCGCAUGGAAGGGCCAUCGCUCAACGGAUAAAAGCUACCCCGGGGAUAACAGGCUUAUCUCCCCCAAGAGUUCACAUCGACGGGGAGGUUUGGCACCUCGAUGUCGGCUCAUCGCAUCCUGGGGCUGUAGUCGGUCCCAAGGGUUGGGCUGUUCGCCCAUUAAAGCGGUACGCGAGCUGGGUUCAGAACGUCGUGAGACAGUUCGGUCCCUAUCCGUCGUGGGCGUAGGAAAUUUGAGAGGAGCUGUCCUUAGUACGAGAGGACCGGGAUGGACAUACCUCUGGUGUACCAGUUGUCGUGCCAACGGCAUAGCUGGGUAGCUAUGUGUGGACGGGAUAAGUGCUGAAAGCAUCUAAGCAUGAAGCCCCCCUCAAGAUGAGAUUUCCCAACUUCGGUUAUAAGAUCCCUCAAAGAUGAUGAGGUUAAUAGGUUCGAGGUGGAAGCAUGGUGACAUGUGGAGCUGACGAAUACUAAUCGAUCGAAGACUUAAUCAAAA